AUUGAACGCUGGCGGAAGGCCUAACACAUGCAAGUCGAACGAGUGGCGGACGGGUGAGUAAUGUCUGGGAAACUGCCUGAUGGAGGGGGAUAACUACUGGAAACGGUAGCUAAUACCGCCUACCAUCGGAUGUGCCCCGAUGGGAUUAGCUAGUAGGUGGGGUAAAGGCUCACCUAGGCGAUGAUCCCUAGCUGGUCUGAGAGGAGGACCAGACACCCGGGAACUGAGACACGGUCCAAACUCCUACGGUAGGCAGCAGUGGGGAAUAUUGCACAAUGGGCGCAAGCCUGAUGAAGCCAGGCCGUGUGGAUGAAGAAGGCCGUCGGGUUGUAAAGUACUUUCAGCGGGGAGGCGUUACCCGCAGAAGAAGCACCGGCUAACUCCGUGCCAGCAGCCGCGGUAAUUC
rnacentral:rRNA from 1 species